ACGUUAGCGGCGGACGGGUGAGUAACACGUGGGUAACCUACCUAUAAGACUGGGAUAACUUCGGGAAACCGGAGCUAAUACCGGAUAAUAUUUCGAACCGCAUGGUUCGAUAGUGAAAGGUGGUUUUGCUAUCACUUAUAGAUGGACCCGCGCCGUAUUAGCUAGUUGGUAAGGUAACGGCUUACCAAGGCGACGAUAGUAGCCGACCUGAGAGGGUGAUCGGCCACACUGGAACUGAGACACGGUCCAGACUCCUACGGGAGGCAGCAGCU
rnacentral:rRNA from 1 species